GCCUUCGUGGUAUAGUGGUCAGCACGCUCGACGCGUAACCGAAUGUUCGUGGUUCGAUUCCCGGCGAAGGCG
rnacentral:tRNA from 1 species